rnacentral:lncRNA from 1 species
GCGUCUCAUUUCCAUGUAAUAUCUCUUGAAUGAAAAUAUAUCCGGUGCGCUUAGAUGUAGUAUGAAGAUUAUCAUUCCACUUAGCAUUAUUUCGCCCGGUAAAAUUUCCCGACAUGUUUGAAUGUGAACGAUCUGAAGGAAAUAAAAUUCUUCGUAAGCUCUAUACAAUAAUAUUCUAACCUAAGAAGUAAAUAAAUAGAAAUAUUUCAUCAUACAAGGAAAUAGAAAAUAGUAGCUUCUAAAAUUCUUAGAAUGUGAAUUGAAACUGAAGAAAACUAAAUAUUUCAAUCUAAAGUGCCUGUUGAUGUAUUCUUCCUUACUUCAAAUAAAAUUCCCAUAUAUUAGUUAGUGAUGAUAGAGCAAUACACUAGCACCUCAAUGUAAUUAACAGAAGAAUUUACAGAUAAACAAUCUAUAACUUCCCUAGCAAAGAAUGAUCGAUCAACUAUACUUUUCCUUUAUUUAUAGACAAACAAUGCAUAACUUUCAAUCAUAUUUAGUUUACUUUUUAUUUAAAUUAAAUGAAAGAAACGAUUGAGGGGGAAACAAGAAAAGGAGAGAUCGAGUGAUAAUGUCCACCCACAACAAAUUGAAAUUCUUCACCCAUGAUGUUAAAGAGAGCAUAAAAGAAUGGAGGGGUGGGCAGCUUUAGCUUUAUAAAGUACCAUUUUUUUCUAAAUAAAUUUCUCUAGAAUAACGGUCUCAUGAAGCUUUUACAUCAUUGUUUUACCAAUUGUAUUCCAAGGCUGUACACCACUACAAAGAAAAUAUCAUCCAGUUUACUAACACGAAACAUAAACCAAAUUACCUACUAUAACAAUAAUUAAAAUUUUCCAUACAAAUUAAAUUACACUAUACAAAAUUUUAUGGAAUACAAUUGCUGGACAGGAGCAUUAACUUUAAUUGUUGUCAAUCCAAAAGUUAGGCUCCGUGACAUUAAAUUUUUAUUAUUAUCAUAAACAAAAAUUUACAAAACAGUACUUGAAAAAUCAAAGUAAAAGAGAACCUUACCUUAAACUGAUCACCAACGUUGUCUACCAAGAAACUCAACCUCCAAGUUUCUUUACCCCACACAAACGUUUAUCUCCAAACAAGGAAGAGAUUGUGAGCUCUAGUGAGAGAUGAGGGUUGGAGAGAUUUGUAGCGUAGGAAGGAAAGUUACGUGGAAGGAACACGUUCUCUGGAGAAAAC